GACGAACGCUGGCGGCGUGCCUAAUACAUGCAAGUAGAACGCUGAAGGAGGAGCUUGCUUCUCUGGAUGAGUUGCGAACGGGUGAGUAACGCGUAGGUAACCUGCCUGGUAGCGGGGGAUAACUAUUGGAAACGAUAGCUAAUACCGCAUAAUAGUAGAUGUUGCAUGACAUUUGCUUAAAAGGUGCAAUUGCAUCACUACCAGAUGGACCUGCGUUGUAUUAGCUAGUUGGUGGGGUAACGGCUCACCAAGGCGACGAUACAUAGCCGACCUGAGAGGGUGAUCGGCCACACUGGGACUGAGACACGGCCCAGACUCCUACGGGAGGCAGCAGUAGGGAAUCUUCGGCAAUGGACGGAAGUCUGACCGAGCAACGCCGGGUGAGUGAAGAAGGUUUUCGGAUCGUAAAGCUCUGUUGUAAGAGAAGAACGAGUGUGAGAGUGGAAAGUUCACACUGUGACGGUAGCUUAACAGAAAGGGACGGCUAACUACGUG
rnacentral:rRNA from 1 species